rnacentral:rRNA from 1 species
CCUACGGGAGGCAGCAGUGAGGAAUAUUGGUCAAUGGGCGCGAGCCUGAACCAGCCAAGUAGCGUGAAGGAUGACUGCCCUACGGGUUGUAAACUUCUUUUAUAAAGGAAUAAAGUGAGGCACGUGUGCCUUUUUGUAUGUACUUUAUGAAUAAGGAUCGGCUAACUCCGUGCCAGCAGCCGCGGUAAUACGGAGGAUCCGAGCGUUAUCCGGAUUUAUUGGGUUUAAAGGGAGCGUAGAUGGGUUGUUAAGUCAGUUGUGAAAGUUUGCGGCUCAACCGUAAAAUUGCAAUUGAUACUGGCAGUCUUGAGUACAGUUGAGGUAGGCGGAAUUCGUGGUGUAGCGGUGAAAUGCUUAGAUAUCACGAAGAACUCCGAUUGCGAAGGCAGCUUACUAAACUGCCACUGACAUUGAUGCUCGAAAGUGUGGGUAUCAAACAGGAUUAGAUACCCCAGUAGUC